UACGAAGGGGGCUAGCGUUGCUCGGAAUUACUGGGCGUAAAGGGCUCGUAGGCGGCCAACUAAGUCAUACGUGAAAUCCCUCGGCUUAACCGGGGAACUGCGUCUGAUACUGGAUGGCUUGAGUUCGGGAGAGGGAUGCGGAAUUCCAGGUGUAGCGGUGAAAUGCGUAGAUAUCUGGAGGAACACCGGUGGCGAAGGCGGCAUCCUGGACCGAUACUGACGCUGAGGAGCGAAAGCCAGGGGAGCAAACGGG
rnacentral:rRNA from 1 species